rnacentral:rRNA from 1 species
CUGUGAGCUCGAUGAGUAGGGCGGGACACGUGGUAUCCUGUCUGAAUAUGGGGGGACCAUCCUCCAAGGCUAAAUACUCCUGACUGACCGAUAGUGAACCAGUACCGUGAGGGAAAGGCGAAAAGAACCCCGGCGAGGGGAGUGAAAAAGAACCUGAAACCGUGUACGUACAAGCAGUGGGAGCCUCUUUAUGGGGUGACUGCGUACCUUUUGUAUAAUGGGUCAGCGACUUAUAUUCUGUAGCAAGGUUAACCGAAUAGGGGAGCCGAAGGGAAACCGAGUCUUAACUGGGCGUUAAGUUGCAGGGUAUAGACCCGAAACCCGGUGAUCUAGCCAUGGGCAGGUUGAAGGUUGGGUAACACUAACUGGAGGACCGAACCGACUAAUGUUGAAAAAUUAGCGGAUGACUUGUGGCUGGGGGUGAAAGGCCAAUCAAACCGGGAGAUAGCUGGUUCUCCCCGAAAGCUAUUUAGGUAGCGCCUCGUGAAUUCAUCUCCGGGGGUAGAGCACUGUUUCGGCAAGGGGGUCAUCCCGACUUACCAACCCGAUGCAAACUGCGAAUACCGGAGAAUGUUAUCACGGGAGACACACGGCGGGUGCUAACGUCCGUCGUGAAGAGGGAAACAACCCAGACCGCCAGCUAAGGUCCCAAAGUCAUGGUUAAGUGGGAAACGAUGUGGGAAGGCCCAGACAGCCAGGAUGUUGGCUUAGAAGCAGCCAUCAUUUAAAGAAAGCGUAAUAGCUCACUGGUCGAGUCGGCCUGCGCGGAAGAUGUAACGGGGCUAAACCAUGCACCGAAGCUGCGGCAGCGACGCUUAUGCGUUGUUGGGUAGGGGAGCGUUCUGUAAGCCUGUGAAGGUGUACUGUGAGGUAUGCUGGAGGUAUCAGAAGUGCGAAUGCUGACAUAAGUAACGAUAAAGCGGGUGAAAAGCCCGCUCGCCGGAAGACCAAGGGUUCCUGUCCAACGUUAAUCGGGGCAGGGUGAGUCGACCCCUAAGGCGAGGCCGAAAGGCGUAGUCGAUGGGAAACAGGUUAAUAUUCCUGUACUUGGUGUUACUGCGAAGGGGGGACGGAGAAGGCUAUGUUGGCCGGGCGACGGUUGUCCCGGUUUAAGCGUGUAGGCUGGUUUUCCAGGCAAAUCCGGAAAAUCAAGGCUGAGGCGUGAUGACGAGGCACUACGGUGCUGAAGCAACAAAUGCCCUGCUUCCAGGAAAAGCCUCUAAGCAUCAGGUAACAUCAAAUCGUACCCCAAACCGACACAGGUGGUCAGGUAGAGAAUACCAAGGCGCUUGAGAGAACUCGGGUGAAGGAACUAGGCAAAAUGGUGCCGUAACUUCGGGAGAAGGCACGCUGAUAUGUAGGUGAAGCGACUUGCUCGUGGAGCUGAAAUCAGUCGAAGAUACCAGCUGGCUGCAACUGUUUAUUAAAAACACAGCACUGUGCAAACACGAAAGUGGACGUAUACGGUGUGACGCCUGCCCGGUGCCGGAAGGUUAAUUGAUGGGGUUAGCGGUAACGCGAAGCUCUUGAUCGAAGCCCCGGUAAACGGCGGCCGUAACUAUAACGGUCCUAAGGUAGCGAAAUUCCUUGUCGGGUAAGUUCCGACCUGCACGAAUGGCGUAAUGAUGGCCAGGCUGUCUCCACCCGAGACUCAGUGAAAUUGAACUCGCUGUGAAGAUGCAGUGUACCCGCGGCAAGACGGAAAGACCCCGUGAACCUUUACUAUAGCUUGACACUGAACAUUGAGCCUUGAUGUGUAGGAUAGGUGGGAGGCUUUGAAGUGUGG